rnacentral:rRNA from 1 species
UACGGAGGGAGCUAGCGUUGUUCGGAAUUACUGGGCGUAAAGCGCACGUAGGCGGCUACUCAAGUCGGGGGUGAAAGCCCGGGGCUCAACCCCGGAACUGCCCUCGAAACUAGGUAGCUAGAAUCUUGGAGAGGCGAGUGGAAUUCCGAGUGUAGAGGUGAAAUUCGUAGAUAUUCGGAAGAACACCAGUGGCGAAGGCGACUCGCUGGACAAGUAUUGACGCUGAGGUGCGAAAGCGUGGGGAGCAAAC